rnacentral:rRNA from 1 species
UUUCGCCUGUUUAUUCAAAAACAUGUCUGUAUGAUUGUUAUAUAGAGUCUAGCCUGCCCCUGAUAAAAUUGAAGGGCCGCGGUAUCUUGACCGUGCGAAGGUAGCAUAAUCAUUAGUCUUUUAAUUGAAGGCUUGUAUGAAUGGUUGGACAAAAAGUAAGCUGUCUCAGUCGCAGAGUUUGAAUUUAACUUUUAAGUGAAAAGGCUUAAAUAAUCUAGGGGGACGAUAAGACCCUAUAAAGCUUUACAAUAACUUGAAUAUACUAAAAUUUGUUAGUGUAACUUAAUAUAUUUGAGAUUUGUUUCGUUGGGGCGACGAGAAUAUAAAUAAAUAACUGUUCUUUUGCUUAAAUAUACAAUAAUAAUUGGUUAAAUAUUGAUCCUUUAUUAAAGAUUAAAAGAUUAAGUUACUUUAGGGAUAACAGCGUAAUCUUCUUCGAGAGUCCAGAUCGACAAGAAGGGUUGCGACCUCGAUGUUGAAUUAAGGGAUCCUUGUGGUGCAGCAGUUACAAAGGAAGGUCUGUUCGACCUUUAAAUCCAUACAUGAUUUGAGUUCAGACCGGCGUAAGCCAGGUGGGUUUCUAUCUAAA